UCCACGGGGUCACAAAAAGUUGGACAUGACUUAGUGAUUGAACAACCACAUAUAUACAAAUGGCUAAUAAGCAACUGAAAAAAAUGUUCAGCAUCAUGGGUCAUCAGGGAAAUGCAAAUCCAACCACGGUUCGGUGCUGUUAGUCCACACCCACUAGGUGAGCUUGGGUUGACAAGUGUGAUGGUAGCACAGGGUAAUGAGGAGGUGGAGAAAUUGGAGCUUUCCAUCCUUGAGCAACCUGGUAUGCUGCUGGUGGGAAUGGAAAUGGCACAACCACUUUGGAGAACCUUGAUAGUUCCUCAAAGGGUUAAACAUAGCAUUGCCCUAGGACCCAGCAAUUCUAGGUACUCAUGUAAGAGACAUGAGCAAAUAUGUCUGAGCAGGAACUUGUAUGUUCCUUGGAUGUUUAUGGCAGCAUUAUUUAUAGUGGUCAAAAGAUGGAAACAACUCAAAUGUCUAUCAACUGAUGAAUGAAUUAACAAAAGUGUCCAUGUGCCGGGCUACUACUUGGCUACGAAAAGAAAUGAGAUACUGCUAUGUGCUACAAUAUGGAUGAGCCUAGGAUAUUUUAUGCUAAAUGAAAUAAUCUAGUCAUAAAAGACUGAUUGAAUUUCCAUGAAAUUCCCAACUGAAAAGUCUUUAGAGACAGAAAGUCCCCUAUGGGUUGUUUAGAGCUGGGAAAAGGUGGGUGAGGAUGUAGGGUUGUAAAAACUAACAUGUGUGAUGUUUCCUUUCGAGUUGAUGAAAUGUUCUAAAAUGGACUGCGAUGAUGGUUGCAUUCCUUUUCACAGAUGUGAAUAUACUAAUAUCCAAUGAAUCGUAUGCUUAAAAUGGGUCAAUUGUAUAGGAGGAGAAAUACAUCUCAAUAAAGUUUCUAAAAAAGAAAAGGGACAGCUGUCUGCUGUAGCUGUUCCUAAUUUUCUCAUUCAGUCUGUUCUCUCUGGAAAGCAAUACCUCUUUUGUUUUUUUUUCCCUGUGGUUUUGGAUCUAUAUUUUAAAGGGAAGAGAUUCUUACUCCUUCUGAGCAAUUUAAAGCACAACAGGAUAUUGGAGACGAACAGUUAACAUAGUUCUUCACUCAGAAUCUUGAGUUUUCCCAGAGGAUUGUUUUAAUGACAUUUAUUUUCCAUCCUUGAGCUCUUCUGAGAAAUAAUGCAAUCUUAAGAAUUUGUAGCAAUGGAAAUUUGAUUCAAAACCACCCUCCUGACAGUUUCUUUGUGCUUUGCACUCAGGGAGGGUACCAUUUAGGAAACGGUGAGUGCAGACAGGGGUGAGGCUGGCUUCUUUGCAAUUGUCUUCUCUCCAGGACCUUAAACCCUUCAUGUCUUAGCAACCCUGAACUCCAAUUUUGUCUCCCAGCUCUUUGAGCUCCUGAGAACGAUGUUAGCCUUCUUGCCCUCAGCAAGUGGUUUCAGGGCAGCUUUUCAGUUUCUUGGUCUGUUGCUUAUUAAUUGGCAAAUUCUUUCAGCAGGAAUUCAGAUGUUGGACUGGUCCAAAUGGGGGGGUUUUCGUCUCACACCUGCGAGCUCCUGAAUCCUGGAGGCCUUGGUAUCUCUUGAUGCCGUCAAACAGAAGGAAAAAUCUAAUCCAGAUUUUCUAAUAAUUCUUGGCCAGAAGAAUCUGUCUUUCUAUAAGAUGCUACAAGCUAUUCUACAAGAAAGCCCUUUUGUUCCGAAAACAAAAGUUCAGUAUUUAUUUUGAAAGAGGUCAUUUAAUUUUUUAUAUUUAUUUAUUUAUCUGAAUGCAGGAUCUUUGGUGUGGCAUGUGGGAUCUAGUUCCUUGACCAGGGAUUGAACCCAGGCCCCCUGCAUUGGGAGAGCAGAGUCUUAACCACUGGGCUGCCAGGGAAGUUCCAAAAGAGUUAAUUUAAAUGUAUAAAUGAAUGUCAAUGGGGAGAUAUUGAUAUCGUCUCAGGCACGUUCUCAGUCUGAACAAACUUUAAUGAGUCUGUUCCUUGUUUACACCUUCAUAACAUUUUUUUGUUUCCAUUAUAUAGGUCCUAUACUUUUAUAUUAACUCUAUUUCUAGGCAUUUACAUGCUUUAUAGCCUUUAUGAAUUUCUUUUAUUCUGUGGUGUUUUAUUGUUAGCUCUUGUGUGUGUGUUGGAAACAUGGAUUUUUCUCAACCAGUUUUAUAAUUGUUUCUUUGGCUGAAUUGCCUUAUUGUUUUCCAUAUUUAUUCAGUUGGUUAUCUUGGCUUUUUACAUAGAUAAUCACAGCAAUGCAAAAACAGAAAAAAAAAGAGAGAUGUAAUGUGCUUUUUUUUUCCUUUUCCAUAUUUACAGUUCUUCAUUUUUAAAAUUAUUUGAUUGAUUUUCUAGAUCUUUCAACACAUGCCAAGUAAUAGUUGGGAUGGUAAACACUGUUUCACUUUUUUCCCCCUGAAUUUAAUGGAAAUGCUGAUGCUUAUAGUUAACUUGUUUAAACAUAAUUUAUUUUGGUAAGUGCAUAUUUCUGAUUCUCAGCUUAAUAGGAAUUUUAACCAAGAAUUUAUAUUACAUAUUACCCAAUGUUUUCAAUCUUUAUCUGAUGCUGCUGCUAAGUUGCUUUGGUUGUGUCCGACUCUGUGUGACCCCAUGGACAGCAGCCCACCAGGCUCCUCUGUCCAUGGGAUUCUCUGUUCAAGAAUAUGGGAGUGGGUUGCCAUUUCCUUCUCCACAAUCUUUAUCAAGAAGACUUAAUUUUGUUAUACCUUUAACCAGUUACUCUGGGGAAUCCUAUCAAUAGUUUUCUUAAUAUUGACUCAUUCAUUUUGUAAAUGAAAUAAAGGUCAGUUUUGGGAAAGUGGCAUUCUUUUGAUGUUGAUGGGUUAUUUAUUUAUUUAUUUUUGACUGUUUGGGGUCUUUGUUGCUUUGAGGGCUUUUCUCUAGUUGCCAUGAGUGUGACGACUCUCUAGUCGUGGUGUAGGGGCUUCUCGUCGCGGUGGCUUCUCCUGUUGUGGAGCGUGGGCUCCAGGGCAUUAGGGCUUCCCUAGUUGAGGCACACUUGCGUAGUUGCUCCCCUGCAUAUGGGCUCUUCCCGGACCAGGGAUUGAACCCGUGUCUCCUGCAGUGCAAGGUGCGUUCUCCACCCCUGAGCCACCAGGGACGCUCCUUCUUGGCUUAUUUUUGCUUACAUUUUAUUAAGGCUUUUUACAUUUUAUUAAGGUAUUUACAUUUGUAAAUAAGAUUGAUUUUUAGGGGGGGGUGUGUGUGUGUGUAGGAUGGAAAAGUGACAUGAAUUCCAUCCGUAUUAGUACAGAGAAAACAUUAGCUUGUUUCUCUGGGGUACUGUAUGGAUAUUCUCAUUUUCUGUACAGUUGGCAGUUUUCAUGUAAGGCACACUGCUGGGCAAGUGACUGCUGGAAAUUGUAAGACAGUUCACAAUCGAUUGACUUAUCGGCCUGACAUAAUUGGUAGUGACGUUUAGACGCUGUCAUUCACAGUCUGAUCAGUGGACUCCAAAAUUUAACUCCACAUGUUUAGAAUUUCAAGUGGAUCUUGUCUGGAAUUUAAAUUGGUCCUUUUCUUUUUGGAAUUCCAAAUGGAGCCAAGAAGAAAGCAAAAACAAAACUUUAAAAUGCCCAGGCUUUAUUACUGCACUCAGAUUUACAGCGUAAAAUCUUCAACCCACUGAUCCAUAGAGGGCAGGCAUGUAGGUUUAAGAGCUGGAGACGCAUGGAAUCAUCUUGAGGCUCCUACACAAUUUAUCAGAACCUGAAUCUCUGAGAAAUAUACGGUGAGUCCCCAUCUCCGAUGGACUGCAGCCAAGACACAUUUCCUAACUGAAUGAAAAAUCAUUCCCUUUAUUCUUUGUGCUCCUUUGGUUUCCAUUAGGUAUAUCCCAGGAUAACUUUAUUGCCUGCCAAAUUAAGACUAACAACAAGAAAACCAUUCUCCAAGAGUGCCUCCCUAAGACUUAUAGCAUCUUUCUAUACUCACCCUAUUCAUCUUAGAGCAAGUGAACAUUCACUUUACUAAAUCAGCAACUCGGCUUCAUAACUACCAGAAAGGCUUUCAUUACCCACAUAGACAGGGGAUGUCAGUCUUGCAAGGUUAAAUUAUGGGUGCUUUUCUCAUUCCAUUCCCAAGGAGGUAAUUCAAGGAGUCAAUUACAAUGUAUGGGUUUCAAAGUAGAUUUCCAGCAGGGGGAGCCCCUGCUUGGAUAAUAGAGUGUUCCUUUUAUCUUCGUUAAAAUGCACAAAGUGAAGAUUUUGAAUAGAAUUCAUUAGCAUAAUUUUUCCACCUCCAGCUCCAUUUGUAGUCAAACGCUCUAUCACUGAGCUCCACUCCCCACCAUUCCAGCUCUAUGUGUAGACUAAGCACAUAAUUUUUUUUUUUUUUUUUUGGCAGAAACGAACCAAAUGACUAUUUCUAUAUCUAGACCCCAGGGCAGGAAUUGCCCAGGGUUCAGGACCCUGGCUUUGGUGCCUGGUAAUUGGCCAUCCCUGUGGCUCAGGUGGUAAAGAAUCUGCUUGCCAGUGUAGGAGACCUCCUGGAAUACAGGAGACCUGGGUUCGAUCCCUGGGUCGAGAAGAUCCCCUGGAGAAGGAAAUGGCAAUUCGCUCCGGUAUUCUUGCUUGGGGAAAUCCCAUGGACAGAGGAGCCUGGCUCAGUCUAGGCCUCACUAGUCCCCUCCAGAGGGGCAUUCUGAGCCCUGUGGUGGGAAUGAAUUGAAGGUGGUGGAGUAAGAGCCUGAGGUUCAGAAUCAGAUGCCUAACGUUCAAAUCCCAGCUUUUCCAUUCACUGACUGUCACUUGGAUGCAUUGUGCAACCUUUCCAAGAGAAUGCCAGUAUUUACUAUACAGGGUUGGAUACUGAAUAUCAGGUGACAUAAUGCUGGCAAAUAAUAAGAGCCUUAUAAUAUGUUAGGCAUUAUUGCUGUUGUUGCUUUUAUUAAACCCAACUUGCCUUUGGGGUCCUAAAUUCUUGCCCUGAGAUCCUCUAAUUCUGCUUCACCCUUGCAGCUUGCUGACAACCGUAGGAAGAAUAAUUAGGCAAUUGUCAUGUGUAAUACUCUAUAUAAUUUUUCCCCCACUUUACAUUGUGUGCAUAAUUUUAUCAUUUGGUAUCAAAGGGAGUUGAAGAGUUCUCAUACCAUUCUCCUGUUCCCAAAACACUGGGGCAGAGGGUGUGGGAAGGACAGAGUGUUCAGAGGGUGAACACAAGAUCUCAUUUUAGUUGUUGAGGAAAAUGUCUUAGAAAGCAAAACCCACAAAGACAGAUCCAAUGCUGCCUUUUCUUACUUCAAGGCACUGGAACCUUUUUUUAAUUAGGGGAAAAAAAUCUCCUGUAAAUAUAUGUACACCAAUGUAAUCUUAUAAAUUCUUGUCUGAUACAAACUAAAAUCAUUAGCAUAACCCUCAAUAUCCAGUUUCAGAUUUUAAUCCAUAUGUUCUGGGCUGAACUGGUUAUCUUCAAUUGGUCUCUAUUGAUUGGACUUCUCCUGAGAGUUACUCUCAUUUCUGGUUUGACAAAAGAAACAUUUGCUGUUGUUAAACCCCCCCUUUUUUUUUUUCCUAUUGAUUUUGCCCUUUUUCCUUUAAUCUCUUACGUGAUCUGCCUUUUGGGUGAAGGACGUUCCAGAGGUCUGGAGGGAAUGAAAUAGGGUUUGCAAGAGGAGGGGUUGUUGAGUUGGGGGUUAUUUUUGCAGACACCCCCCCUAGAAAGAGGUGUGGAAAGCCCCCUCUCCUUGUAAUUCUUCACUUUGAACUGAUGGAGGUGGAUGCGGAGGGGGAACCUGAGGUUGCAAAAGUAAAUGAUUGUUUUCUGGGAGCUCUAGCAGCUUCCAGUGGGGAGAGACAGCCAGUUCAAAGGAUCAGGACCACUUGGACACACCCAGCUGUUCCCAAACGCCACGGCCACCACUUUCUAAAAAUGAAGUGUUAAGACACCGGGAGGAGAAAAGAGAUGUCUGCCUUUUAGCUGCUAAAUGUGGACUCACCAUCACUCGUUGUAGGCGGGUAGCAAGCACUGGGAAGAUUAAACUGACCUUUGUUUUUGCAUAAAUACAGAACCAGCGAAAGUGUGUAUUCUCAAGUGGUUUCGAUCUGCAUUCUCCUGCCCAGAAAUCAGCAGCCACAUGUGUCCACUGGGCGCUUGCAAUGUGGUCGGGAGGAGAAAUGACUGGCUUCACGGAUGUGUUGAAGAGGACACUAAAGCUGCUGGGUUGGUUUCGGAAUGAGUUUCUCUGUGGAAGGCCCAAAUGUGGACUCGCUAGUGAAUCAGGAGAGCUGCUGCUGGAUGAAGGGUCCCUCUCGAUAAGCUCUCAGUUUUCAGGCGUUUCACCAGGUAACAUGGAUCUGUCACGGGUCUUAAGUCUGGGUGCCCAGAUCAGACUCAAGGAAAACUGGCAGAGACAUUUUGUGUAUUUCACAGUCAUUCUCAUCAGAUGCCUUGAACAUGGAGCUCUGGAAACAGCCAGCUUUUAAAAUUCAGAUACUGGCAUCUACCGAUGUACUUUCUGACUCUAUGAAUUUGACUAUUCUAGGUACUUCAUAUAAGCGGAAUCAAACAGUAUUUGUCUGCAUCUACUAUAUAUUGGAAUACAUUUUAAGGCUUAACCCUAUUAUAUAGUUGUGUAUUAUGCAGUCUUCUAAAGCUGUAAUAUAUUAUAUAAUUCAUUCAUCAAAAAACUAGGGAGCCCUGUAUGUUAGUGGGUAUUAUACAUAUAUGCACACACAGUAGAAUUCAUUCAUCAGAAAAGUUAGGGAGGCUUCUCACAGAGAGGAAAGUUGGUGAUCUCUGUUUUGAAAGACGUUCUAUCUACAGGUACGCUCAGAGCAGUGCAGGCCAUGGGGCUGCAACCUCAGCUGCUCGAGCAGCCCCAGGAAGACGGGGGGCAGAGGGGCUGUGGUCCCUGGGAGUGAUGGCAGCGGACAGGCGCCAAGCUGCCAAUUCGGGGAUUCCCUUGAGGUCCAAUCUGUCCCUUUACAUGUCCAGGUGAAUUUUAAAACCAAUUUCCUCCUUAAGAAAGAGGAGCAACAGCUCAGUGAGGUGUGGACAACACUGAUAAGCAUGAGGCUAGUAACUGCAGGGAAUCAUAAAGACAGGUUAGGGUCAUCCUUAAUGGACUGAGAGACUUCAAACCCAGGAGAAAUCUCGGAAAGGGCCAGAGCUGAAGACAAAAGCAAAAAAGGAGAGGUAUUAAGGCUAAGAAAGUCCGAUAUCUCUCAGAGCGACAGUGACCACAACCCACCACCCCCAACCUUGUACCUGCAAGGGUUCAUUCACCACACACACUUGUGUAACCCAGCAAGGACUCAGCACUUACAUACACCAUCUCACGAGGUGAAUAUCUGUAGCCCCAUUUUAUUUUAUUUUUAAAUUCUAUAUUGAAGUACAGCUGAUUUUGGGCUUCCCAGGUGGCUUAGUGGUAAAGAAUCCGGCUGUCAAUGCAGAAGACAUGGGUUCGAUCCAUAGAGUUGUAAAUUCCAUAGGGCUGCAAAGAGUUGGACAUGACUGAAGAGACUUAGCAUGCAGGCAGGCAAACAUGGCCAGGUUCAGGACAUGCAAGCCCCGAACAUGGCCCCUGGGCACACAAAAUGUUUUUGACCAAAAGCAUUUGAGAAACAGUGGGUACAGGAAGGAAGUAUCUUGCUGGUGGAUCACUACAACCAUUCACAUAACAAAUGGCCAUUUCUGAUGAACACAAGAAGAAUUGUAGGUGUGGGUAGAUACAGGCUAACUUGCAUGAUUUGGGGGAGAAUUUUAAACUUAUCCAUAGAGGUUCUGCACCUGACUUAUGGUUCAUUUUUCAAAAUUUUUAGCUUACAACUUGAGAAGGGGUGAGGACAGUCAUUUAAGAUGUAUUUUUAUUUUCUACACUUUUUUUUUCGCCACAUGGCUUGUA